UACGUAGGGGGCGAGCGUUGUCCGGAAUUAUUGGGCGUAAAGGGCUUGUAGGCGGUUUGUCGCGUCUGCCGUGAAAAUCCGAGGCUCAACCUCGGACUUGCGGUGGGUACGGGCAGACUAGAGUGUGGUAGGGGAGACUGGAAUUCCUGGUGUAGCGGUGAAAUGCGCAGAUAUCAGGAGGAACACCGAUGGCGAAGGCAGGUCUCUGGGCCACUACUGACGCUGAGAAGCGAAAGCAUGGGGAGCGAACAGG
rnacentral:rRNA from 1 species